GAUGGAGCCUUAAAUGAAGGAAUGUGGGAGCCACCAGAACCUGGAAGAGGCAAGGAAAGAUUUUUCCCUAGAGUCAUCAGAUAGAGCGUGGCCUACUGACACGUUGAUUCUGGACUUUCAGUCAACAAAACUUUGUGACCCCUUUUUUUGGCUAAAAUCUCCUUAAAAUGAAGGAUAGAAUGGUACAAAUUUUUAUGACUCUUCCCAACCCAGUAAGUAGUUCACGAGAAGCACAAGUGUCCAAUAACUGUGUGCUGCUGUCAUAAACUAUAACCAGAAGAGCCUCCUGAAUGACUUUGCCAGCAACUGGGAGCUGCCUCUGGAUGGCGAUGAGGCUCCCAGCUCCAAGAGUCCUCUCACUUCACCGAGAGAGAGUAGCG